rnacentral:rRNA from 1 species
GAUGAACGCUGGCGGCGUGCCUAAUACAUGCAAGUCGAGCGAAUGGAUUAAGAGCUUGCUCUUAUGAAGUUAGCGGCGGACGGGUGAGUAACACGUGGGUAACCUGCCCAUAAGACUGGGAUAACUCCGGGAAACCGGGGCUAAUACCGGAUAACAUUUUGAACCGCAUGGUUCGAAAUUGAAAGGCGGCUUCGGCUGUCACUUAUGGAUGGACUCGCGUCGCAUUAGCUAGUUGGUGAGGUAACGGCUCACCAAGGCAACGAUGCGUAGCCGACCUGAGAGGGUGAUCGGCCACACUGGGACUGAGACACGGCCCAGACUCCUACGGGAGGCAGCAGUAGGGAAUCUUCCGCAAUGGACGAAAGUCUGACGGAGCAACGCCGCGUGAGUGAUGAAGGCUUUCGGGUCGUAAAACUCUGUUGUUAGGGAAGAGCAAGUGCUAGUUGAAUAAGCUGGCACCUUGACGGUACCUAACCAGAAAGCCACGGCUAACUACGUGCCAGCCGCCGCCGUAA